CCUACGGGGGGCAGCAGUAGGGAAUUUUCGUCAAUGGGCGCAAGCCUGAACGAGCAAUGCCGCGUGAACGAGGAAGGUAUUCGGAUCGUAAAGUUCUGUUGAAGGGGAAAAAGAGCGGAGAGAGGAAAUGCACUCCGAUUGAUAUUACCCUUCGAGGAAGUCACGGCUAACUACGUGCCAGCAGCCGCGGUAAUACGUAGGUGGCGAGCGUUAUCCGGAAUGAUUGGGCGUAAAGGGUGCGCAGGCGGAUUUUUAAGUCAGCGGUCAAAUCGUGGGGCUCAACCCCAUACAGCCGUUGAGACUGGGGAGCUAGAGUGUGCGAGAGGUAAGCGGAAGGAGAGGUGUAGCGGUGAAAUGCAUAGAUAUCACGCAGAACCCCGAUGGCGAAGGCAGCAUACCGGUGCACAACUGACGCUCAGGCACGAAAGCGUGGGUAUCGAACAGGAUUAGAUACCCCGGUAGUC
rnacentral:rRNA from 1 species